UCGGGAAUUUUGGGCAAUGGGGGAAACCCUGACCCAGCAACGCCGCGUGAAGGAUGAAGUAUUUCGGUAUGUAAACUUCGAAAGAAUAGGAAGAAUAAAUGACGGUACUAUUUAUAAGGUCCGGCUAACUACGUGCCAGCAGCCGCGGUAAUACGUAGGGACCAAGCGUUGUUCGGAUUUACUGGGCGUAAAGGGCGCGUAGGCGGCAUGACAAGUCACUUGUGAAAUCUCUGGGCUUAACCCAGAACGGCCAAGUGAUACUGUCGCGCUAGAGUGCAGAAGGGGCAAUCGGAAUUCUUGGUGUAGCGGUGAAAUGCGUAGAUAUCAAGAGGAACACCUGAGGUGAAGACGGGUUGCUGGGCUGACACUGACGCUGAGGCGCGAAAGCCAGGGGAGCAAACGGGAUUAGAUACCCCCGUAGUCCCUGAGCGGGCUGGCAAGGCGCAU
rnacentral:rRNA from 1 species